rnacentral:lncRNA from 1 species
AACGAAAACUUCGUCGGAACACGCGGCUCACACCGUUCCUACGAAUCGAGCUCCCGAGUCCCCCAACAGUGUCGUCUCCUCGAGCGAGGGAGCGCGCGCGAAUGGCGUCGGCGCUCCGCGCGGCUCCGGUCACCGCCCUCGGCUCCGGCGGGGGCCCGCGGCGGCGCUCUCCUCCGGAGCCCCGCGGCGUCCGGCGCUGCGCGGCGAAGCNNNN